GGAGAAGGAGGAAGGAAGUUGACUCACUGGGAGGACCAGGACUUGGUUUUGGGCGCCACAGUGAGCAAGGAGAAGCAGAUUCACUUUGAAGGUGGAGUCAACAAUGGACUGGGCGUAGCUGUGAGAAGAAGAGAGGAAUCAAAGACGGCAUAGUGAGGAAGAGAAACAGAGACUCAGGAGGUCAAGCCAGGUCAUGCGGCCAGCAGGAGGACGAGGGGGAAUCUCGCUCAGUUCUGUCUGCUCCAAAGAUCCUGCUCACCCUGCUCCCCGGGUAGAAGCAACCACGAAAAUCAUGAUGAUGAGAACCAAACCAAGCAGACAUACUAGAGAAGGAAGACCUGCUCAACAGAGAUAAGAAAAAACUCCAGGGGCGCCUGGGUG